CGCCCGCCCUCACGGCGCUUCAUUGUCACCCGCCCGGGGGCACCGCUGGGGACCGCGGGGCGCCGGGUCGCCCGCCCGGCCGAGUCCGCGGGCCCCGCGCCCCAGGCCCAGCUCGCGCAGGUGAGGGGUGUCCGCGCAGGUCUGUCAUGUCCACCAUGAAAGGCUCACGGGUCACUAGUGGUACCCCUGAGGGCAGCCCGGAAGGUGUGGACCUGAGUCUGACUGGCCUCCCUCUGCCCAUGUCCCGGCGUCCUAGCAGUGCCUCUACAGCCAAGCCCGUCACCCGCUCCAUCUCUGUGGCCACAGGCGGCACAAUGAGGAGGAGGGCUCUGGAGGCCACAGGGCCUGGGGGUUCCCGGGCCAUCAACAACCUUCGAAGAUCUAACAGCACCACACAGGUCAACCAGCCGUGGACCAGCUGCCCCAGGCCUGCGGAGCCCACUGACUUCCUGGCGCUGUUCGAGGGAGAUCCUGGUGGGAGAGGGAGGCUGGCCAGCCUGCCCAAGCCAUGCAGUGGGAAGGGAGCCACCUGGAACGUCCUGGACGAUCAGCCCAGGGGCUUUGGUUCGCCGGCCAGUGCCCAGAGUCCCAGCACCCUCAACUCCCCAGGGGGCCCACGGAGGAGGGAGUGUGCCCUGGCACCCAGCUUCACAGCCAAUAACAGGAGCAGCAAGGGAGCCGUGGGCAACUGCGUCACCAGCAUGGUGCACAACCACUACGCCCCCGUGGAGCGGGCGCCCCCACUCAAGAGCUCCAACCAGACAGCCCCCGCUCUCAACAACAUCAUCAAGGCAGCCACCAACGAGGGCAGUGAGGGUAGCAGCUUCCGGAAGCCCCACAAGAACUUCAGCACUGACCGUGCGGCCCGGGGCACCGCUGGGGGGACCACCACCAACCUACUCAGGCGGAAGGAGGUGACGGAGGAGGAGGCCGAGAGGUUUAUCCACCAGGUGAACCAGGCUGCCGUCACCAUCCAGCGCUGGUACCGCCACCAGGUACAGCGCCGCAAAGCAGGAGUUACAGACCUGGAGUACUUGCAGUCGGCCACACAGGAGCUCUUCUGGCAGGGGCAGCAGCAGCAGCUGGGCAGUGGCAACCUCCUGGACCUGCACCGGCAGAAGGAGGCGGCCAGGAAGAAGGCCCGAGAAGAGAAGGCUCGCCAGGCCAGGCAGGCGGCCAUUCAGGAGCUGCGGCAGAAACGAGCCCAGCAGUCAGGCAAGGCUGAGCACGGGCUGCCCAAGGGGAGCCCAGAAACCAGAGCACCGGGGCAGCCUCGGCCCCCCCAGGAGCCGCCCCUGACACCAGGCAGUGACACCCGCCAGCCCCUCAAGGCCAACAACACUGGCACCACCGUCCACCCCACAGGCCCCAGGAACCCCUGCCUACCUGCCUCUGACUCAUCCUCAGAGCACCAGCUGUCUCCAGAGGACAAGCCACAGGAAAUGGCCAGUGAGGACGUGGAGAUGGUGGGCCCCACCAGGAGCAGGGUCAAGUCCAGGGAAACCCUGGAUGAGCUGCUGGACACGCUGAGGCUGCUGGAGGAGGAUCCCGAACCACUGUCCCAUCCCAGGGUCUAUCACAAGGACAGAUAUGCUUGGAUGGAUGAGGACAGUGCCAGCUCCCUGACGGCUGACAACCUGGAGAGGUGGGGGAAACUCGGUGCACCCUGCAGCACCCCUGAGGAGGGGGCGCUGCUGUCUGAGGCGAAGCUGCAGGGCGUCAGGAGCUUCCUGGACGAGAUGGAGAGGUCGGGCCAGGGCCAGCCCGCCAUGCAGCAGGAGGGGCUGGCACCAGACGUGGGGCGGGGGCACCCAGAGCUGGCAUCCGAGGGGCGCGUGUCUGUGAUGCGGCUGAAGCUGGAGCUGGAGGAGCAGAAGCAGGCUGUGGUGCUGCUGCAGAGGGCGCUGGCACAGCAACGUGACCUCACGGUCCGGCGGGUCAAAGAGACAGAAAAGGAGCUGAGGCGGCAGCUUCGGCAACAGAAAGAGCACUAUGAGGCCACCAUCCAGCGGCACCUGUCCUUCAUUGACCAGCUGAUCGAAGACAAGAAGGUCCUGAACGAGAAGUGUGAGGCAGUGGUGGCCGAGCUGAAGCAGGGCGACCAGCGGUGUCGAGAGCGCAUGGCCCAGAUGCAGGAGCAGCACGAGCUGGAGAUCAAGAAGCUCAAAGAACUCAUGAGUGCAACAGAGAAAGUCCGCAGGGAGAAGUGGAUCAACGAGAAAACCAAGAAGAUCAAGGAGAUCACUGUCAGAGGCCUGGAGCCCGAGAUCCAGAAGCUCAUCGCCAAACACAAGCAGGAGCUGAGGCGGCUCCGGGGCCUGCACGAGGCCGAGCUGCUGCAGCGGGACGAGCAGGCCGCCCAGCGCUACCUGCGCCAGGCCGAGGACCUGCGGGAGCACCUGGAGCGGGAGAAGGAGGCGCUGGGCCAGCAGGAGCGCGAGCGAGCCCAGCGGCGGUUUGAGCAGCACCUGGAGCAGGAACAGCGUGCCCUGGAGCAGCAGCGGCGGCGGCUGUACAGCGAGGUGGCGGAGGAAAGGGAGCGCCUGAGCCAGCAGGCAGCCAGGCAGCGGGCAGAGCUGGAGGAGCUGAGACAGCAGCUAGAGGACAGCAGCUCAGCGCUGACCAGAGCCCUGAGGACCGAGUUCGAGAAGGGUCAAGAGGAGCAGGAGCGUCGGCACCAGGUGGAGCUGAAGGCUCUGAAGGACCAGCUGGAGGUGGAGAGGCAGGCAUGGACGGCCAGCUGUGCCAAGAAAGAGGAAGCGUGGCAGCUGAACCGGGAACGUGAGCUCAAGGAGGAAAUCCGGAAAGACCGCGACCAGGAGAUCGAGCUGGUUAUCCACCGGCUGGAGGCUGACAUGACCCUGGCCAAGGAGGAGAGUGAGAGGGCCAUGGAGAGCCGCAUCAAGCGUGUGCGGGACCAGUAUGAGGCUGAGCUCUCAGAGCUGGAGCAGUCCCAGCGGAAGCUUCAGGAUCGGUGCUCGGAGCUGAGGGGGCGCCUUGGGGAGGCCGAGGGGCAGGAGGAGCGCCUGCAGGCCCUGUUGCGGCAGAGGGAGAAGGAGCUGGAUGACCUGCGGGCAGUCAACUCAGAGCUGUCCAGGGAGCGAGGCAGCCUGGUCGAGGUGGUCCGCCAGGAGUUUGCUGACCGGCUGGCGGCCUCUGAGGAGGAGAACCAGCGGGUCAAGGCCGAGCUGACUGAGCUGCAGGCCCGCCAGCAGCUGGAACUGGAUGAGGUGCACCAGAGGGUGAAGACAGCCCUCGCCAGGAAGGAGAAGGCCGUGAGCAGCCUCCGGAGACAGCAUGAGGCUGCCAUGAAGCGGGCUGAUCAUCUGGAGGAGCUGCUGGAGCAGCACAGGCGGCUGCCCCUGAGUGCCAAGUGAUGCCACCUGCAGGCUGGAGGCAGGCCGGAGACAGGAGGGAUGCGAUAAGGAGUCCUGCUGCCGUGCCGGGCCCUGGGGCGCAUGCUGGCUGAGAGCCUGCGUCUGAGCCACAUUCCUUCUGACAGAGGCCACACCAUCAGCAGCCAUCUCUGUGCCCGACUUAGACCUUGCGGUGCAGACCCGAGCAGACACCGUGCCUUCCGGGGCCCACAGGCUAGCGGGGGUAAUGGGCAGAAAGCAAGGGACUUACCAUUUCAGAAUUCCUGCCCUUUAUUUUCUUCCCUCUCUUUUCUCUGACUUUAAUUUUCUGUUCUUUUUUCUAAGUUCUUGGGGAGGAUACUUAGAUCAUUGAUUACCAGCCCUUUUUUUUUUUUUUUCAAAUCAAUGCAUUUAAGACUAUGAAUUUCCCUCAGAUUACAACUUGAGCUGUACCCACCAGGUUUGGUAUGUUGUAUUUUUGUUAACGUUAGGUUUGAUUUUCUUAUUUCUGUGGUGGUUUCUCUGAAUCACAGGCUGUUUAGAACUGUGUUGUUUUUCUUUAACUUUUGUUUUUGAUUUCUAACUCAUCUUCCCAGAGGACCUGUCCCAUGUUAUUCCAGUCCUUUCACUUGGUUGAGAUAUGCUUUAAGGCCUGGCUGUUGGUCAACUUUGGCAGAUGUUACAUCUGUAAUUUGAAGAAGAAUGUGCAUUCUGCAUCAGGGGGCUGCAGAGAACUGGCUGCAUCCAAGAGCCAGCCCUUCGUACUUCCCGAGCCUCCUUUGGCACUGGGUCUCUCGGUCCCUGGGGUUGAGUGCUAAGGUCUCUCACCAUAUUUGUGCAUCAACCCUGUCUCAUUCUGGUGUGUUCAUUUUUCCCGUUGUGCAUUUGGAGGCUGUACGUUCAGAACCAUGGUGAUUCCCUGAGAUUGGCCCUUUAUCAUGAGUCCUUCCUCUUUGACCCUAGAAGUGCUUCUUGCCUUAAAGUCUCCUUCAUCUGAUAGCAAAGCUUUCUCUCCUUGGUACCUGCAUGUGUCUCUCUUUUUAAAUUUUUUUAAAAGUA